GCACCCGUAGCUCAAUUGGAUAGAGCACUGGUCUUCGGAACCAGCGGUUGUAGGUUCGAGUCCUACCGGGUGUA
rnacentral:tRNA from 2 species